AUUGAACGCUGGCGGCAGGCCUAACACAUGCAAGUCGAGCGAGCGGCGGACGGGUGAGUAAUGUCUGGGACACUGCCUGAUGGAGGGGGAUAACUACUGGAAACGGUAGCAAAUACCGCAUACCAUCAGAUGUGCCCAGAUGGGUUUAUCUAGUGGGGGGGGUAAGGGCUCACCUAGGCGACGAUCCCUAGCUGGUCUGAGAGGAUGACCAGCCACACUGGAACUGAGACACGGUCCAGACUCCUACGGGAGGCAGCAGUGGGGAAUAUUGCACAAUGGGCGCAAGCCUGAUGCAGCCAUGCCGCGUGUGUGAAGAAGGCCUUCGGGUUGUAAAGCACUUUCAGCGGGGAGGCGUUACUCGCAGAAGAAGCACCGGCUAACUCCGUGCCAGCAGCCGCGGUAAUUC
rnacentral:rRNA from 1 species